rnacentral:rRNA from 1 species
UACGAAGGGUGCAAGCGUUACUCGGAAUUACUGGGCGUAAAGCGUGCGUAGGUGGUUUGUUAAGUCUGUUGUGAAAGCCCCGGGCUCAACCUGGGAAUGGCAAUGGAUACUGGCAAGCUAGAGUGCGGUAGAGGGGUGUGGAAUUCCCGGUGUAGCGGUGAAAUGCGUAGAUAUCUGGAGGAACACCGGUGGCGAAGGCGGCAUCCUGGACCAAUAUUGACGCUGAGGAGCGAAAGCCAGGGGAGCAAACGGG